rnacentral:lncRNA from 1 species
UUUGAGUUAUUCCAACUCGAAGACUAACUCAUAAAUCAGUUUAUAACACACUGACACUAAGAAAACACAAAAAUUAUAAUUCAAUAAACUUCCUAAUACAUAUUAACUAGAAAAAGACUGUUAGACACAUGGAUGAAACAGGUUCUUCAAUUUGGUUCACUAUAUUAGGCUGCACUUCGAUAGCUAGGAAAAACUCUCUCAAAUAUUGUUCUUACUUAUUUG